GUUCUUAUAGUUGAAGUGUACAACGGUGGCUUUUCAAGCCAGAGAUCUUGGAGAAAUGCCAAGUAAGAAUA
rnacentral:tRNA from 1 species